CAAACAUUUCCUAACCUCAUUUCCCAUCUAUUCAACUAUCAGAACACAGAAGUUGUCACUGUUCUUCUCUUUAACCUAAUUUUUUAUCCAUUCAUAGCAGAUAGAUUGAACACAGAAGUUGGGGAGAAUUGCAGAAAUCUAGAGGUUUUCUUCUUUAACUGUUGGAGGGUUUCUUCUUCAAUCUUUGAGGUUAUAGCUGAAGAAACUACAAGUUUGGGCUUUUGAGGUUCCUGAAAUGGAUGUUGAAUACUAUCCUUCCAAGGAAGAUGUGAUUUUACAGAAUGAGUCUCAAACAGAUUUUUACAUAAUAGUCUCAGGAGCAUAGGAUCUUCUAGUAGAUAGCGAUGGAUGUGAACAAGUCAUUGGGAAGGUUGUUGCUCGAGAAUCAUUUGGAGAAAUAAGUGUUUUACUUGGAAGGCCACAACCAUAUGCUGUUACAACAACUGAAAUUUCCAAAAUUUUAUGUUUGAGUAGGAAAACAUUUCUGAACAUUCUUCACGACAAUCAAGAAGAUGAACAGAUUUUAAUGAAAAAUCAUUUUCAGGAUUUGGAGGCUUUGAUAAUGUGGACGAGGAAAGCGAUUCAAGUUUAGUCUUCAACAACUGUUCUCAUGUUUCUAAGCAAGAUACGCCAACCAAUCCUAGCGAUCUGAUUAGUAUAAAUAUACAAACAUUAGAAGCUACAACCUAUAAACAAGUUGAAAAUGAAAGUCAAA